CCCACCACUGUACCUGCCCUGCAAAGCAGUGACUAGUACAGUCCAGAGGUGAGCUGACAGGAAACACCAGCUUAGGAAACAGUUAUUCACCUUGGGGGUGACUUUGUGCCAAAGCCUGGGAACUGGC
rnacentral:snoRNA from 1 species